UUGUAAGACCCAUCAGUCCGAAAGUGAAAGUUGUUUUGAACAGGAAAAGGAAGAGUAGAUUUAUUUUAUCAAAAACAAAAUGACAGUUGUAAUAAAACGAAGAAUUUACCCUUACAUUACGUUAACAACUUAUUUACUUCAUUUUCUUGCUUCAAGCAGCGUUAGUUUAGCAACGGAAGAAGGAAGUAAAUACAAACUUGUGCAGACCGCCAGAUUGCUGGGUCUCAAUUUGAUAGAACCACUUCCUGCUCAGUUUAACACGACUUACCAUGGAGAUGUCACAGACAAUAGAAACGUUAUAUACAGUUAUACAGCAACAGAUACUAAGACACGUGCAGUGCGGAUAUUUACAACAGCAAAUGAGAGUGAGAAAGAUUACCCGACCAUAGUUGUCAUCCGGCAAGCAAGAAGUGUUAUGUCAUGGCAAAUACCUCUGUUGAUGCAAGAUUCAAGUUUAUUAUAUGAAUAUGAAAGUGUUAGUCGCACACUUUGUCCAGUGGACACAAAUCAUACAGAGCAGAAAAUAAACGUGGAGAUUUCAACACAGUCCAAGAAAAAUGUCUCGUAUACACUUAAGGCAAUCCUUCAAGAUAACUUCAUGAUAGAGACAGAUAAACAUGAGGUAACAAGUUCACCGUCUAAUCCUGUAUUUGCCAAGUAUACAUUUCCUGAAGGUGUUCAGUCUGUGCUUGUUAGAGCAACAUCUGCAGAUACAAUAUGUGCUGUACUCUCCAUCCAGAAUACUAAGUGCCCUGUGUUUGACUUGGACACUGAUGUGAAGUACCAGGGAAAAUAUCAGACUAUGACAACCCAAGGGGCUAUCACUAUAGAGAAGUCAGAUUACAAAAGUGGUUCUUUCUUUGUUGUUCUUGUGGUGAAGCCAAAUGAUUAUGACUGUACUGAUGGAAUUAAUCAGAUGCCACCAGCAGGGGUCAGUACUACCAGGCAAAAAAAUGUCACCAUAAACAUUAGCAAAACCAUAUCAAGUUCUCAGUACUACAGAGCCACGUUGAUUGCGGCAGCAUUUUUUGCAGCAUUUUAUGUGAUUGCUCUUCUGAUAGGAUUAUUCUAUCAUGGAUGCAAGGAGAAUUGGGGUAUCAUUGAUUUGACAACAUUUGAAACUUCAAUGAAUCAAGAAGAGUUAAAAGAACCUGUUGCAGAUAGUAGUGGCAUACAUGGGAGCAGAACCCAAGAUGACACAAGACAACCUAUUAUAGAAAAUAGAGGUGGAAUGGGGGGUGGAGCCCAAGGAUAUGGUUCUAUCUCAAAUCCCGCCUCAAAUCCUGCCUCUAGACCAGCAACUGACCAAUCAAAUGCCAGGGCUGAAGAUCAAGAGUCAAUCAAUUCAGAAGAUUUUGACAUGGUCAUAGAUGCUGACCAGGAUAAGAAUAUUUUCAGAACAAAAACUGCCCUGUUUGUAGUUGAUCUUGCAAGAAAAAAUGAGAGAAGAGCGGAUAAAACCUAUAAACUUUACUACAAAAACUUGUUCAUCAUUGCAGUAUUUUACGGGUUGCCAGUGAUACAACUUGUUAUGACCUAUCAGACGGUUUUGAAUUUCACUGGGGACCAGGAUAUAUGUUACUACAACUUUGCAUGUGCCCAUCCACUGGGCAGAGUUAGCUCAUUCAACAACAUCUAUAGUAACAUAGGAUAUAUUCUCCUGGGCAUACUCUUCCUUAUCCUUGUUGCACGAAGGGAAUUGUUAUACAAGAAAGCUGUAGAGAGAAGUGAGGGUAGACACAAGAAGUUUGGAAUACCACAGCAUUUUGGUUUGUUUUAUGCAAUGGGGUUUGCCUUGUGUAUGGAAGGAAUUAUGAGUGCUUGUUACCAUGUGUGCCCUACAGUCUCUAACUUUCAGUUUGACACAUCAUUCAUGUAUAUCAUAGCAUGUCUAUGUAUAUUGAAGAUCUACCAGAAUCGUCACCCAGAUAUCAGUGCUAAAGCUCACUCCUCGUACACUGUCAUGGCCAUAGUCAUUAUUAUAGCUGUCAUUGGUGUGGUUUAUGGAACAAAUAUAUUCUGGAUAUUGUUUGCAAUAGUGUAUCUUGGAGCCUCACUUAUUCUCAGUGUGCACCUAUACUACAUGGGCAGGUGGCAAAUAGAUCGUUACAUAUGUAAAAGACUUUGGUUAAUGAUAAUAUCAGAUUGGAUGAAAUGUAGCAGGCCAGUUUACGGGAGGCGCCUUAUCCUACUCAUUCUUGGAAAUGCUGUGAACUGGGGCAUUGCAAUAUAUGGUAUAGCCAAGAACCAGACCAAGACCUCAGAUUUUGCCAGUUACCUGCUUUCUAUAUUCAUUGCCAACCUUCUUCUGUAUACAGUAUAUUAUCUUGUUUCUAAGAUGUGGGCGAGAGAGAAGAUACCCAAGUUGCAAUAUUAUUCAUACUACUUGCUGCGGUCACCUGGGGAUUUGCUCUGUAUUUCUUUGUGGCUCAUCUAACCACCUGGCAGCUAUCUCCAGCUGGAUCUCGUGAAGGGAACAAGGAAUGUAUUCUGUUCCAGUUUUAUGACAAACAUGAUGUCUGGCAUUUCCUGUCUGCAAUAAGCCUCUUUUUCUCCUUCCUGAUUUUACUCACCUUAGACGAUGAAAUCAUCCUGACAAGGAGAGACAAAAUCCCAGUGUUCUGAUUACUGGGGAAAAUUCAAUGCUACAAAAAUAUCACCCACAGUGCCACAUAAAGUCUUCUCAUGUGAUACAUAUAUUGUGCUUUAGUGUUUAGUGUCUGUCUAACCUGAUUGAUAUUCCAGAAUAAGUAUCUCAGCUCAUCUUAAGUGAGAUUUAACAUUCCACAAAACUAUGGAACUUAUACUCAAAAACUUAUAGUAUCUGAAUAACCACAUGUGUGAGGUUUUUUAUAUUCCAUAAUAGUUACUUUACAGAUAACUCUGCAAGACAACACCUGUGAACGGAGACCGUGUGACUCUAAACACCUCCAGUUUUAUUUCUGAUUUAAACAUUGAAACCAGUAUUUGACUCGGGUAACUAAUGUGAACAUUGAUCUGUAGUGUAUUUUGACCUGUGAAUAACAGCUUCCUCCUUGUAAAAGACCAUGUUUUGGCUUGUCCAGAUGUAUGUGCAGGUUUGAUGGUAUUGUUGAAUACCUGAAUGAAGUUUCUGUUGAAUUCUUAAAGUGUUUUAAGUUCAUAGUAAUUUAAAGAAUGGGGCAUUGGUUCUAUACAUUCCAUUAUGAGUAAUAAUAUGGCAGGUAUAAAAUGUGUUCCUUGUUGUUUGAUGUUUAUACAACCCAUGAUGCCAAACAAUCUUAGAUUUUUAAAUCUAGACAAAUAUAUUGUAUAAGUCUGCCUUUUUUUCAUUUGAUAUUUUUUUAGUUUCUUUUAUGACUCUAUUUAAAUUUAAAAAGAAACAACAAAAAAACUAGGAAUUUGCAAUAUAUGGUACCCAAGCUGUUUGUGUAUUCAGUAUGUAGAUCCAAUUCCACCAUUUUAAGAUUAUGUCCUAAAUUCUAAAAUAUUAGACUCUGUCCAUGACAACUAUGCUAUUACCUCCUGAUAACCUGUCUGCUUGAUAUCAGCACAUUCCAAACAUUACACUGAAUGUCAUUUGACAUUCCAUUUUAUUUCAUUUUUUUUUAUCAUGCAUAACUGCUGAUAUAUUGCUAAGCCAAACUCACAUUGCUAUUUUCUGCAUUGUUAGAAGCUGCUGUUUCCUAAAUAUUUGACAUGCUAAGAUUUAAUAUGUAUGUGAGUAUGUGUACAUGUAGAAUUGUAUUACCAGUAUACUCUUUCUGAAUGACUUGCCAGUCAGUAGUCAAAACUAUUGCCCAAGAGUUGAAGUACCAAGGGCCAGUAGUUUUGACUAUUGACCUGCAUGCUAUUCAAUAACUGUUUCAUUACAUGACAUCAGAAAUAUUUUCUUUCCUUUUUUCUUCAAGUUUGAAUUUAGUAUUGUUCUACUGACUGGCGAGUAGCACGAACUGUGGACCAGCAAUUUAUAUAAGGAGUCAUUGUAAUAAUAUACACAAUAUGUGAAGUACCUGUGUGUCGAUGUAGAAAACAUUGCUAUUAAAUUAGAGAAUAUUGCUUCUUUAACCAAAUUUAGACUAACACAUUUAUAAAACAUUUGCCAUAUCUUAUUUUGCUGUGCCAGAACAUGUCUUUUUACCUGUGGUAAGCCUAUUGAUAAACUAUUUAGACAUUGAGUGGACUCUUAUAUAUAAUGAUUUACUUCACAUAUGUAUACAUGUACACCUGUUGAAAUGUCUGCCACUCUGAUGACAUAUGCUUUGAUUUUACUACUGUUUUUUGUUGUUGUUUUUUUAAAUACUUUAAUCGGCAGAAAAUGUUUUCGGGCAAUAAAAGGAAUUUUGAUUUUUUUCUGCACAGAACUAGAUCAAUAUUAAAUUGAGCGUUCAUUUUCUAUUCAAAACUAAUAUCUUUGAAACUUUUUAGGUCUUAAAACUUAGAUGACACAUUACAUAAUUAAUGGCUACAAUUUUCAUACUAAAUAAAAGUUUACUUCUACUAUUUGAAGAGUGUAAGUUUUGUUUACUUUGGAGAAGAGCUGAAUGAUAAAUUACAUGAUGCAGUGAUGACACUUUUUGUUUUAUAAGAUACAUGAAUUAUGAUUAAAAGAAAAUUAUAUGUAGAUUAUGUAUGUAUCAUCUCAUAUGUAUUUGUUUGUAUGAGAGAAAGACAAAAAUCAUUUACUGGUUCAGUACAGUGUAUACAUGUAAUAUAUAGUAAAACAUGUAUUAAGCAGUCAGCCAAGGGUGUUUUACAAUCUGUCAGUUUCAAGAAGAAUGACUGACUGCUUAAGACAAGUUGUUUCUUAAUACAGGUGAUAACUAUGACAGGUUCAACUGCAUUGUUCAACUGUAUAUUAAAAUAACUUGUUGUUGAUAAUGGAUUUUGCUACAGUAAUAAAUAUUAUGUCUUAGAUAUGAGAAUUA
rnacentral:misc_RNA from 1 species